CAACGAAAACUGCUGAGAGAUCAGUUUCUCUCUUUUCUUCUUGAGAGAAGUUUAAAACCCAUCUUAAUUCAUCAAAUGAUGACCAGAUUGAAGAACCAUAGACUGUUCUACUAUUUUCAAUGAUACGAAUGGUAGGCGAUUUGUACAAAUAAUGACCAUAUCGAAGAACCACCAACGCUGAUGGCAGAUUGCUAAAGAAGACGAUCCAAUCCGUGGUUGUAGGCACAAAAUCUGAAGUUUGUCACAUAGACAACAGGUCCUUUGUUCUCUUUUUUCAGAUUUACUUAUCUUCUUUUUUAUUUAUUGGCGAAAUUUAGUAUAUCCAAAUCAAUUUGGUGGACGAAAUUUGGUAAACCAUUUUGACUUUUUGCCAAAAAAAAAUUGAGUUAAAUGAUAAUACAAAGCUUUUUAAUGAUUGAACGAUUCAACAUAAAAAAUGAUAGGAUACGAAUGAAGGAAGGUGUUAAGCAGAGAAUCAAGGUGUUCCUCCUCGAACAUCACUUCACAAUCUAUUCGUUUGCGUGUGCUGGCAUUAAUUGUAGAAAAAGCAAUAUCUAUUGUUACAUAUGUUUUGAUAAAUAUUAUUUCAUUGAUAUAGCUAAGUGAUCGGGAAAUUUUUACAAAGUACUCAGUAUUUUCUUAUUGAAUGAUGCUCUUCAUCCGAUUUUAUGUGUUAUCUACCGUGUAUAAAAUGCUCAACGGAUUUUUUACCAUUCAGUGAUCAUAUAUUUGUUGAUUUGAUCCUCACCUGAAUCAGAAAGUUGCUAAACGCAAGUUAGUGGCCUCGAGAAUUCUCCUGGACAAAGAAAAAAUGGCCUUUGAAUUGCUACUAGGUAGGCAUUGCAUUUGCUUCAGCAUAUAUCCUGAGUAGCAGCUAAGCAGGUACUUUUUCAGUACACAUACUCAUAUAUUGGUGGUUAUAGAUAGAUUUGGAGCAUUCCUACUAUGGUAAUUCCAUUGACUAACUGUGACUCUUUAAUUUGCUACAUAAAUUAUGCAAACUUUGUUGGUUUUUAGCAUUUUCAUUUUUGACUUGUGGCAUAUAUGAUUUAUAUACAAGAUUUAGUACAUGUGUGACAAGAGGGAUACAUUUAAGUAAUGAUUAACUGCUACUUAUAGUCUCAUCUGCCUUACCUUGAAGUUUGAUGAAUAAUGGAAUCGGACUUUCUAUUUCAAUAUGCACAUAAAUUUAAACUUAUGUAUAUAAAUAAAGCAUAUGAUAUUGUUUCUCUAAUCAACUUGAUGAGCAAGAAAUAUAUUAUUUUUUAAACUCCGAUUAUUAUUGAUCUUGAAACUUUAUGUGUCCUCCUUUCUUGCAUCUUAAUUGGCUCAAUCAUUCACCAAACUUUACCUCUAAGAAUAUAUUUGAACUCUUUUGGAUACUAACUAGAAAAAACAUGAGAUAUAAGUUUACCUUUGUUGUAUGCUUUCGACUUUUUAAUAUAUUUAUCGUAUAUUAAUUUAUCUAUUUAUGGUAAUAAUGAAUUGACAGGUUCAACUUCUUAAAUUAAUACAGGAGCGAUAUGUUACACUAACAUUGCGAAUGCAAGAAGAGACUCAUGUGAAAGUCGUGUAAACAAGGUCGAGCAACGGAAUCUUGAGGGAACAAAUCCUUAACAAAUGGUUAUCGCCAUGCCAAACAGUACAACAUUAGAAGUGCAAAGCAAGGUUGAUGUUGGAGGUUACAUUGCUUCGGCUCAGCCAACCGGUGCCGAUGAUAUCCGAGCACUUUUAAUUGGAGAUCUGCAAUUUUGGAUGAAUGAAUAAUAUCUCUAUAUAUAGCUGAUUUGCAAAUAUUGGAAAUGUACUAAAGUUUCUGAAAUAAAUUGUUGUUGCUGAGUGUUUUAAUA